UGGUUGCUGUGAAGAAACUUCACCAGUCACAAAAUGGAGAAAUGACUGAUUUCAAAGCAUUUACAAGUGAGAUUUGUGUGUUGAUGAACAUACGUCAUCGAAACAUUGUCAAGUUACAUGGUUUUUGUUCACAUUCAAAACACUCAUUUUUGGUUUAUGAAUUCAUGGAAAGAGGAAGUUUAAGAAGUAUUUUAAGCAAUGAGG
rnacentral:misc_RNA from 1 species